CUCUAUUUCCCUUGGGGACAUCUGAGAAACAUCUGUUUUAGGGGUCCAGUCCAUGGGAUUAGCUGCAUUGUGAGCAGGGGUCCUGCAAUCAUAUCCUCUGGCAUUAGCUCUAAUCAGCCUCCUCAGUUAGCCAGAUACUCAAGGUCCCUGGCUACUCCAUCCACUGAGCCCCAUCUAACGUUUACCCUGACAGCAUUUCAAACAGUUGGUGGAUGAGCUGGUGGUCAAAGGCAUGGGGGUCGUGGACCAAGCCCUGAUUGAGGCCUUCCAGAUCCUGAAGCAGGUACCUGCAGCUGUGAAGCCUGGAGGGCUAAGAGAGUAGGAGAAAGGGCCAAGGUGGAGGGUGGGCAGUCACGGCCUGUCACGACCAUGUCCUCCUCUGUCUCACACAGUUCCAAGGGGCUGGGCAAGGAAGUCUCUGCAACCAGGCCAUCAUGCUGAUCACUGACGGGGCAGUGGAGGACUAUGAGCCAGUGUUUGAGAAGUACAACUGGCCAGACCGCAAGGUCCGGGUCUUCACUUACCUCAUUGGGAGAGAAGUGACUUUUGCUGACCGCCUCAAGUGGAUUGCCUGCAACAACAAAGGCUACUACACACAGAUCUCCACGCUGGCUGGUGCCCAGGAGAAAGUGAUGGAAUACCUGCACGUGCUCAGCCGGCCCAUGGUCAUCGACCAUGACCACGACGUCAUCUGGACAGAAGCCUACAUGGACAGCAAGCUCCUUACCUCAAAGACACAGAGCUUGAUGCUCCUCACUACCGUGGCCAUGCCUGUCUUCAGCAAAAAGAAUGAAACGGUGAGUCGACACUCCCUGAGAGGUGGCAGCAGGGGGCAGAACACCUUUAUAGGCCAGUUGCUUCUGAUUGGGGUGAGCAUCAAAGCUACCCUGGGAGGAUUUGAAUGCAGGCUCCCAUACCCUGUCCCACACUACCUACAUUGCAAUCUUUGGUCGGUGGUGAGACUGGAGGUCUAUACGUUCAAAAGGCUCCCAUCCCUUAGUGAUUCUGCUC
rnacentral:lncRNA from 1 species